ACACGUGAAGGGAGGUGGUCCGAAGUUGUAUAGCAACGGGACUCGUGAGGUGGCUGUCCGCUAGCCGCUGUCCUUGACAGCUUCGUUUGAGCGUCGAGACCGUGUGGCAGCGGCCCGGCGAGUACCAGACAGCCACCCGACCCCAGGGGAUCCGGCCUUGUCCGACCGGACCUCACCCGCGUCAGCGAGUGAGGAAGUCCCCUGGGGUCGCUUCAU
rnacentral:sRNA from 1 species